CGUUUGUCUGUUUGCUAGUAAGUGAAACGGUUCUAUAUUUUAUUUAGUUAGUGUUUAGUCAGGCUCAACCACUUCAGUAUCAAAUGGCGGCUGGUCUUAUUUGCUUAUUUUUAGAGCGAGUAGAUACUGUAGAAGAGAAGCACAAGCAAGCGACCACCAUUACGUUAUACAGUGUAACCGCGGCUGUUUUAUACAUGAUGAAAUGUGUGAAUACUAUAAAUGUGGACAUUUGAAACGGUCUCGUUGGGAAUAUAAUGUGUGUGAUAUUAAAAAAGGAAACGAGCUGUAUUUAGGCUGAACAGAAUGCUCUUGUGUAACGGGUCGCUCCGAAUCCUCGUUCACCUUAUUUGAACUUGAACUCGUUCACCAGCCACAUGAACACUGACGGGCCGGUCUGGCUGCUGCGUGCCGCGGGGGAAAAAAGGAUUAUAAACACCCAUACCGGAUCGUUACGGCAUUCUUAAAACAUACUUAUCUUAAUGUUUAACAGUCAUGGCAAACCUGCUUUUAUCUUCGUUAUUUUUAACAACAAGACGGAUUGUUUGAUUUUUUUCUUCUCGCUCCGAGACGCUCAACAAAAGGAAGACGGGACUUCAUGGCCAUUAAUGACAGCUCUGAACCGACUCUUUUCACUCCUCAGCUUCGACUUAAACUUACACCGCCUCGUAUUCCACACACCGAGCCUGUUGGUGCAUAAAAUGGCGUAAACUUGUGCACGUUGUCCUUCGAUUGUUCGUCUGCUGUUAAUCAGGACCACAGAAAGCAAAGGAAUGGACUUGACAGAAAACAUGGACUAGAAAAUGAGGAAUAGAUUUAAGAGGCUGACCCUAAAGUUCACAGCUGUAAUUGAGAGGUCUUGCAGACACGCGUACUCAGGGGCCCAGGACAGACCACCACCGAAGAGCAGCCCGCUGUCAAAAAGAACAUUCGGUGCAAUGCAACAGAUUGGACACAUCGGACAAACAGACCUGGAUAUGGCAUUUUUACACAAAUAUUUGUGCACAAUUUAUAUGUAUUGGCUAAAUAUUACAUUAAAGGAUCCCUACUUUGUUGUCUUAAUUCAGCAAAUAAACAGUAAUGUGUAAUACAGUAUGCAAAAGUUUACAUAAACCUGUUUUCACGUGAAAUGUGCUGGUUUACACUGCACAGCUGGACAGCUGUAUAGCUAAUAAAUAGUGGAAAAAAAACUACCUAGCAAACGUUUUGUUUCUUCAUACAUGCAGUUUUUUAGUUACAAAAAUGCCCUUACAGAAAUGUAAUAGUAUAUAAACAUCAUAAUUAAUUAGAAGGUGUAAGUAAUUAAAGAGAAGUGUACUUUUCUUCCCAGGUCUGAUUUAUAAGUGUGUAGAAUUUGGAUUGUACAUGUGCUGUACAUGUGUUUUGCCUCUGUUACGAGGAUGAAUGAAAUGUCAUGUAUGCUGCUAAUUUCUUUCUUUUUCUAAAUCAUUACAUUUAUUUUAACUGGCUGUAUAAUAAAUGGCUAAAAACUUUG